GACGCGCAAUAGCUCAAUUAGAAGAGCAUUGGCCCAGAAAGCCGGGUCCCGGGUUCAAGCUGCGGCUGCGUCA